rnacentral:misc_RNA from 1 species
GAAAUGCGAUAAGUAAUGUGAAUUGCAGAAUUCAGUGAAUCAUCGAAUCUUUGAACGCACAUUGCGCCCGCCAGCACUCUGGCGGGCAUGCCUGUCCGAGCGUCAUUUCAACCCUCAGGACCCCUUCGGGGGUGCCUGGCGUUGGGGAUCGGCCCGCCUCCGCGCGGGCCGGCCCCGAAUCCCAGUGGCGGCCCCACCGCGAGCUCCCCUGCGCAGUAGCGAUACCUCGCAGCCGGACGAGCGUGGCGGCCACGCCGUAAAACACCCCACUUCUUCAAGGUUGACCUCGGAUCAGGUAGGAAUACCCGCUGAACUUAA